AUUGAACGCUGGCGGCAUGCCUUACACAUGCAAGUCGAACGGCAGCACGGGAGCAAUCCUGGUGGCGAGUGGCGAACGGGUGAGUAAUACAUCGGAACGUGCCCAAUCGUGGGGGAUAACGCAGCGAAAGCUGUGCUAAUACCGCAUACGAUCUACGGAUGAAAGCAGGGGAUCGCAAGACCUUGCGCGAAUGGAGCGGCCGAUGGCAGAUUAGGUAGUUGGUGAGGUAAAGGCUCACCAAGCCGUCGAUCUGUAGCUGGUCUGAGAGGACGACCAGCCACACUGGGACUGAGACACGGCCCAGACUCCUACGGGAGGCAGCAGUGGGGAAUUUUGGACAAUGGGCGAAAGCCUGAUCCAGCCAUGCCGCGUGCAGGAUGAAGGCCUUCGGGUUGUAAACUGCUUUUGUACGGAACGAAACGGCCUUUUCUAAUAAAGAGGGCUAAUGACGGUACCGUAAGAAUAAGCACCGGCUAACUACGUGCCAGCAGCCGCGGUAAUACGCAGGGUGCAAGCGUUAAUCGGAAUUACUGGGCGUAAAGCGUGCGCAGGCGGUUAUGUAAGACAGUUGUGAAAUCCCCGGGCUCAACCUGGGAACUGCAUCUGUGACUGCAUAGCUAGAGUACGGUAGAGGGGGAUGGAAUUCCGCGUGUAGCAGUGAAAUGCGUAGAUAUGCGGAGGAACACCGAUGGCGAAGGCAAUCCCCUGGACCUGUACUGACGCUCAUGCACGAAAGCGUGGGGAGCAAACAGG
rnacentral:rRNA from 1 species